rnacentral:other from 1 species
CAAGCAAGGAGCGAAGGACAUUGUAGGAAGCAAUCACUAAUAGGAUGUUGGUGACGAAGGAACGACAAUGGACACCUCGAGGAUGGAGGUCAGGACAGUAUCAGGACGAUACCAGGGACACCGCUCAAGGAACAAGUGAUGUGCGCUAACGGGGAUAGUUAGCUGUCAGGAAGAUUAGGACACCGCUAGGACGGCGAAGUAAGGAAUAGCUGAAGGAUUCAGCCACUAUUAUGGAUGAUGCAGGGAGCAUUAUUAGUAGCCGGACUGCUGCGAGUAAGACUAUAGCCCCGAUACGAAAGUGUCGGGGCUUUUCUUAUCG